CACGUAGGGGGCGAGCGUUGUCCGGAUUUAUUGGGCGUAAAGAGCUCGUAGGUGGUUCAGUAAGUCGAGUGUGAAACCUCCAGGCUCAACCUGGAGACGCCACCCGAUACUGCUGUGACUAGAGUCCAGUAGGGGAGCACGGAAUUCCUGGUGUAGCGGUGAAAUGCGCAGAUAUCAGGAGGAACACCGAUGGCGAAGGCAGGUCUCUGGGCAUUAACUGACGCUGAGGAGCGAAAGCAUGGGGAGCGAACAGG
rnacentral:rRNA from 1 species